UACGUAGGGUGCGAGCGUUAAUCGGAAUUACUGGGCGUAAAGCGUGCGCAGGCGGUUUUGUAAGACAGGCGUGAAAUCCCCGGGCUCAACCUGGGAAUGGCGCUUGUGACUGCAAAGCUGGAGUGCGGCAGAGGGGGAGUGGAAUUCCGCGUGUAGCAGUGAAAUGCGUAGAUAUGCGGAGGAACACCGAUGGCGAAGGCAAUCCCCUGGGCCUGCACUGACGCUCAUGCACGAAAGCGUGGGGAGCAAACAGG
rnacentral:rRNA from 1 species